rnacentral:rRNA from 1 species
CAGUAGCCACGGUAACACCAGCACCUCGAGUGGUCAGGAGGUUUAUUGGGCCUAAAGCAUCCGUAGCCGGUUGCAUAAGUUUUCGGUUAAAUCUAUGCGCUUAACGUAUAGGCCGCCGAAAAUACUGUGCAGCUAGGGAGUGGGAGAGGUACACGGUACUCGAUAGGAAGGGGUAAAAUCCUUUGAUCUAUUGAUGACCACCUGUGGCGAAGGCGGUGUACCAGAACACGUUCGACGGUGAGGGAUGAAAGCUGGGGGAGCAAACCGGAUUAGAUACCCCGGUAGUCCCUGUCUCUUAUAC